AUUCAUCUGACGGGUCCAAAACAGGAUGAAAUGCGCAUCCUGGAU
rnacentral:hammerhead_ribozyme from 1 species